AGCAGCCGCGGUAAUUCCAGCUCCAAUAGCGUAUAUUAAAGUUGUUGCAGUUAAAAAGCUCGUAGUUGAAUUUCGGGGUUAGUAGGUUGGUCAUGCCUCUGGUAUGUACUGGUCUCACUGAUUCCUCCUUCCUGAUGARCCKUAAUGCCAUUAAUUUGGUGUUKYGGGGAAUUUGGACUGUUACUUUGAAAAAAUUAGAGUGUUUAAAGCAAGCUAACGCUUGAAUACAUUAGCAUGGAAUAAUGAAAUAGGACGUUCGAUCCUAUUUUGUUGGUUUCUAGGAUUGACGUAAUGAUUAAUAGGGAUAGUUGGGGGCAUUAGUAUUCAAUUGUCAGAGGUGAAAUUCUUGGAUUUAUUGAAGACUAACUACUGCGAAAGCAUUUGCCAAGGAUGUUUUCAUUAAUCAAGAACGAAAGUUAUGGGAUCGAAGACGAUCAKAUACCGUCGUAGUCUUAACCAUAAACUAUGCCGACUAGGGAUCGGAUGAUGUUAAUUUUUUAAUGACUCA
rnacentral:rRNA from 1 species